rnacentral:lncRNA from 1 species
UAAAUUCAAAAUAAAUUAUUGCCAUUCAUUAUAAAUAAAUUUCUAUCAAAAAUAAGCCUCAAAGAUAUAUAUUAAAAUACGAAUAACAACGUACACAGAUGUUGCGUAUGAAUACACAACGUUAGAGUGGGCGUGUCUCCAUAAAAAUUGAUAACAUUGAAAAUAAAGCUAAUUCUUUUAACCAAUCAGAAGACAGUAAAUACACC